CACACGUUCUUGGUCCUCAGGAGUAGCCUUAACACCUCUGUCAAGGGGUGCAGUUGUUUCAUAGAGCUCCUGCUUGAGGUUUCGGAAAUCAACUGCUAAUGGUGUUUCGAAACAUGGAAAUAGAGAUGCAUCUUCGAGAGCCGAGGCAAUAUAAGGCACUAAAUCUUAACCAAUAUCUGUUCAAGAUAUAGUGGUACAGUCUCAAGCUUUGUUAAAUAUCAAUGAUUCAAAUAAGGAAGAUAGGGAGAGUGGUGGUUCGAAGGUUAAAGUUUGAGGACCCUCGUCCUGAGCAAAUUCAAGAUAUUGACGUGGGACUAUUUGUUGAGGAAUAAGUAUACAUAACUCCAACUUUCUAUAACUAAUGAGUUAUAUUAAAAGCGAGUGUAAUUUGCAUUAUGAUAUGAUGAAGUAUUUCCGAGAGGAUUUACAUAGGAGACUCUUAAGUGCAGAUUUUAAGAAGCAAGUUGAUGGACUUCAAAAGCUGCAGAAGGCCCUUCCUUCCAUUGCUAAGGAAGUAAUAGAAGUUUUGGACAUUCUUCUAAGGUGGUUUUUGUUCGUUUUGCAAAUCAAACACAACAUGUCCAUUGAAGGUGCUGGAACUUAUUCCUGAACUGCUUGACACCUUGAAGGAGGAGGGUUACACUCUAACAGAAUCUGAAGUGGCAGUGUUUCUUCCAUGCCUUGUAGAGAAAGUUAAUAUUAGCAACUAUAUUUGUAGAAUGUUAUUAUUCCCAUGAACUUUUCUAAUGGUUUAUGUGAUUUCAACUAACUUUUGUUUUAAACUAAGGUACUAGGUUAUAUUAGUGUGCUUACUUUGGUGUUACAGAUGGCAAAGUAGAAGUUCAUUUUCUAUUUUAACGUUGCAGUUAGGGCAUAACAUUGAGAAAGUACGAGAAAAAAAUGCGCGAGCUGACCAAAAAGUUUGUUGCCAUAUAUAUUCAGCUUCUAAAUGUUUACCCUAUAUAUUAGAGGAUUUGCGCUCCAAGAAUAACCGAGCUCGAAUCGAAUGUGUUCAUCUGGUUUGAUUUAUUAUUAGAUCAUCGUGUUAUCGAGGUAUCGUCUAUUUUUCAAUUAUUUUCUAGUCACUGUUUUCCGUCAAUACUACUGACAUUAUGAUCUGUAUGGAACUGUUCUGGCAUUGGUGUGAUUGUGGAAAAGAAGGAAAAUAUGAAAUGAACAA